UAAUUAGUUUAGAUCAUAUCCGUUGAGUAAUAAUAAUGAAAUGAUGGUGGAUUAAGUCUUUGGUUUUAAUUGAUUUUUAUGCGGAUUAUUAGUUUUCUGUGAUCAUUUCCUUUUUAGUAGUUUAGUUGUCCUCCUUCUAUAUCUACUUGUUAGUAAUUAUUGUUGUACAUCGGUAUGGUUGUUUGUAUGGUUGAUGUUUGUAUUCAGGUGCUACGCCGUGUAUGUAUAAGGAAGACUCUGUCUGUUUAUUUAGGAGAUUCUUUAUCCACGUGGUGGAUUUGUCCACAUCCACGGGGUGUUUUCAAAGGUAUUCUUUUUUAAAAAAAUUAUACGUUUUUUGCUGGCUUUACUGAAAUGAGUUUAAAAAAACACCUGGGGGGUGACAAUUUAUUUGGCCGUGUUGAAAAAAAUAUAGAUUAUUAUAGCCAUUAAUGUUAUUUUUAUGAAAUUGUUCGGAUUGUACGUGGAUUGUUAAAAUUUUUAUUUAAUUGUUAUAAUUGUCUUGUAAUAUAAGAAAGAAACGAUGAAUUAUUCAUCAAAUUUUGU
rnacentral:lncRNA from 1 species